UCCACGUUUCUCCUCCCUGAGCGUGUAAUCUUAACCUUGUUAAGAUGUUUGCCCCCGGUACGCCGGGGGCAUUUUUUU
rnacentral:ncRNA from 1 species